rfam:Oryza glaberrima chromosome 7 Oglab07_0147_20, whole genome shotgun sequence.
AAAAAAAAAAACCAUGGUUUUCGUGCCCAACAUUUGACCGUCCGUCUUAUUUGAAAAAAUUAUGAAAAAAAUUAAAAAGACAAGUCACGCAUAAAAUAUUAAUCAUGUUUUAUCAUCUAACAACAAUGAAAAUACGAAUUAUAAAAAAAUUUCAUAUAAGAAAGAUAGUAAAAGUUGGACACGGAAACCUAGGAUUUGCAUGUUUC